rnacentral:rRNA from 1 species
GGGGAAUCUUCCGCAAUGGGGGCAACCCUGACGGAGCAAGACCGCGUGGGGGAGGAAGGCCUUAGGGUUGUAAACCUCUUUUAUAUGGGAAGAACAAAAUGACGGUACCAUAUGAAUCAGCCUCGGCUAACUCCGUGCCAGCAGCCGCGGUAAUACGGAGGAUGCAAGCGUUAUCCGGAAUUAUUGGGCGUAAAGCGUCCGCAGGUGGUUAGUCAAGUCAGCUGUAAAAGACUCAGGCUCAACUUGGGAUGUGCAGUUGAAACUGAUUGACUAGAGUACGGUAGGGGUAGAGGGAAUUCCUAGUGUAGCGGUGAAAUGCGUAGAUAUUAGGAAGAACACCAGUGGCGAAGGCGCUCUACUGGGCCUGUACUGACGCUGAGGGACGAAAGCUAGGG